rnacentral:rRNA from 1 species
GACGAACGCUGGCGGCGUGCUUAACACAUGCAAGUCGGACGGAAAGGCCCUGCUUUUGUGGGGUGCUCGAGUGGCGAACGGGUGAGUAACACGUGAGUAACCUGCCCUUGACUUUGGGAUAACUUCAGGAAACUGGGGCUAAUACCGGAUAGGAGCUCCUGCUGCAUGGUGGGGGUUGGAAAGUUUCGGCGGUUGGGGAUGGACUCGCGGCUUAUCAGCUUGUUGGUGGGGUAGUGGCUUACCAAGGCUUUGACGGGUAGCCGGCCUGAGAGGGUGACCGGCCACAUUGGGACUGAGAUACGGCCCAGACUCCUACGGGAGGCAGCAGUGGGAAAUAUUGCACAAUGGGCGGAAGCCUGAUGCAGCAACGCCGCGUGCGGGAUGACGGCCUUCGGGUUGUAAACCGCUUUCGCCUGUGACGAAGCGUGAGUGACGGUAAUGGGUAAAGAAGCACCGGCUAACUACGUG